UACGGAGGGUGCAAGCGUUAUCCGGAUUUACUGGGUUUAAAGGGUGCGUAGGUGGGCCCGAUAGUCAGUGGUGAAAUACUCUCGCUCAACGAGGGAACUGCCAUUGAUACUUCGGAUCUUGAAUGCAGUGGAGGCGGGCGGAAUGUGUCAUGUAGUGGUGAAAUACUUAGAUAUGACACAGAACACCCAUUGCGAAGGCAGCUCGCUACACUGAUAUUGACACUGAGGCACGAAAGCGUGGGGAGCGAACAGG
rnacentral:rRNA from 1 species